AUAUGUCACCACCUACCUGCUUUAUCUCUUUGUCACAUUUUCAUCUCUUUCUACUUCAACUUUCCUUUGAUUCAUCCCCAAAAGCUUUCCCCUAGGCCACUUGGCAGUAUUCCCUCACUAGUCAAAAUCUGGUGGGUCUUUCUUGAGUGAGCUCUCAGAGCUGACCUCCUUUUUUAAGACAUCUAUUUGCAUGCAGGUGGCCAUCGAUGACAUCAAUGGUUUUGCAGUAUUGAGCCACAUUUUGGAUUUUACCUAGAAGAUGUGCAGAAUAUAAAUGUUUUCAUGAGAACAAAAUAUACAGCUGGAUGUUUGUCACAAUUCUAAUGUCCCUGCAAAGAUGAGAUGCAUGAAUCACACAGCAAUCUCAUCAAAAAGGAAUUUCUGGAAGGCAUAGGAGAAGAGAAUCCUGGAAAAAGCAAGAAGCAGGAAGAUAAGAGGCAAAGAAGAAGAGAGCCCCACCCACUGGGGCAAGCUGGGGCCCCAGAUGAUGAAACUGUGGCCCAGAAAGUUUAAGGGAUGUGUCAAAUGUCACACAGCUCACAGAUCCAGGGACAUGGCUUAAAUCCAGAUAUCUUGAUUCUAACUUCAGUUGAGGAAGAGAAAGAGUGCUGCCCCACGCUGCCUGAUUUACAACGUGAAGUGAAAUCUUUGAAAAGAAAAAUAAGACAAUGUCACUCAAGCUCUUAUCUGAGGAUUUCCUGGGUUUGAAGACAGAGCUCAAACUCAUACAAGGGGUCAUCUGAGUCUGCAGAUAGGCUUGCUUUAUGCUGCUCCGUCAGAUCUCUUCUAAAGAUUAGUGCGCAAUUCUGGACAUUACAUUUUAAUGGUAACAUGGAUUCAACUAAAGGCCGCAGCAACUUUGCUUUGUACACUCUGUCUCCUGCCAAGAGAGCCCAGGGAAGGUAAUGUCUCCUGGAUCGUAUGAAAUGUUUCUGUAACGGUCACUGUAACUCACACCUUGAUUUUUACCAGGUCGCUGGCAAGUGCGAUGGAUUGUAAUUGCUGCACAUUCAUGAGGGCUUCUCAAGGUUACCCGGGCACAGUGAAUACCAAAAGAAGAAUAAGACGGAGAGCUAUUCCUCAGUGAAGCAGAGUUUACAACCCUUGUUCAUUUUGGCCAAAGGCCAGCUGACUCUAGUUUACCUAACUUUUAGAGAGUUUCAGAAAAAAAAAUGGAAGUAAUAUCCUGCCUUUGAGUAUGGAGACAAAAUUCUAAUAUCAUAAGAGAGUUAUCAGAGGUUAAGGCAGUUAGAAGGGUUCAUUCAUUCAACAUUCAACACAAACUGUGAACACCUAACAUUUGCCAUGUACAAAGAAGGACGUUCUGCCUUGGACUAACAUCCAUUCCUGUGAGGGAAGAGAAGCAGCAGGCCUGGAUGAUGCUGCCGCUUGAAGAAGAAAAUCUUUCUCCUGCCAGAGUCCUGCUUAACCUUAGCUGGGGGAGGUGAUCUUUAACACUAACUAUUAAAGUUUGAGCCCAGAGACUGGUGCUAAUUCACCCUGACCAACCUCUCACACAGCCACAGAAUUCUCCCCUGCACACCAGGGCACCACCACUGGGAGCUGUUGGCAAUAAGGGAGUGGAGAAGGUAGAAUGUGAGAGGCCCUCAGUCAUCCACUCCUCUAGUCAGUAGCCUUCCACUCAUAAAUGGAUAAAAACAAGAGCCAUUUUUAGAUUCAGCAUUUCCUGGGGAGAACAAUUCCAGCCCCAAACUUCAGAUGUCAGCAGAGAACAGUGUGGGCUCUUUAUGUUCCUCAAGAACAUGCACACUGAGCUUCCCCCGCAGCCCCCGAGCACUGCCAGCUGCUGCUGCUGCGAUCCCAGUGUCUGAGUUUGUGACUCGCCGGGAGAUUGUCUGUUCCUGCUGCUUCCAAUAUCGUCUUGGCCUUUAUGAAGGCACAUGCACACGACUGUAGCGGCACCCCUGUCUCCGGCCCAUUGUGGACAUGACUGCUCUUCCAGUGUGGCUCCCCUGUGACAGGCACCUGCUCAGCAACCUACAGAAGCUCCCCCAGCUAUCACAGCUCAAAACUAAAUGUAGACGUGUGACUCUAUGAUACCUUCUGGCUAAAGAUUGCAUCUUUAUCAUCAGAGCAAUAUAUAUCAGGUUGAUUUAUUAACACUCUAUCUCCAAUUGGCUCUAUGCAAUGUGCAGACAAAUAAACACGUAAAUG
rnacentral:lncRNA from 1 species